UUUACAUUUCAUUGUGAAUGUCACACUUGUCACUCAUCUAAGGCUUACAACCGGUAUAUAAACAACAAUAUUUCCGCGGUGUAGUCAUUUAACGUCGGACAUUAAUCACGUUGAGACCCUUCUUCUUGAGUUGAGAUGGCUUAUACAUUGACGUUGAUCUUGGUGGUGGUCACUGUUGUGGUCUAUGCGUAUGCCCAGUACGACACAUUCCCUUUAGGCCUCGAUCCUUAUUGUUUGAAGAAAACACCAGAAAUAUACGGACCGUGCAAAAAACCGCGAACCAUUUGGACGUUUGACUGGUGCGCACUGAAGUGUGUUCAGCGAACUGGAUGUUUCCAACCUGGUAACCAGGAAAUAAACGCUUUUCCUUCGAAAAUAGGUUGUUAUAUGUGGUGCAGCAGAUCCUACGAAUAGUUACUUGUAUGUCAUGAAAUAAAGCUGUACGACAACAUACCAUA